rnacentral:rRNA from 1 species
AAUGGACGCUGGCGGCAGGCCUAACACAUGCAAGUCGAACGGAUCCUUCGGGAUUAGUGGCGGACGGGUGAGUAACGCGUGGGAACAUACCCUUUGGUACGGAAUAGCCUCGGGAAACUGGGAGUAAUACCGUAUGUGGUCGAGAGACGAAAGAUUUAUCGCCAAAGGAUUGGCCCGCGUUGGAUUAGGUAGUUGGUGGGGUAAUGGCCCACCAAGCCGACGAUCCAUAGCUGGUUUGAGAGGAUGAUCAGCCACACUGGGACUGAGACACGGCCCAGACUCCUACGGGAGGCAGCAGUGGGGAAUCUUAGACGAUGGGGGAAACCCUGAUCUAGCCACGCCGCGUGAGUGAUGAAGGCCUUCGGGUCGUAAAGCUCUUUGAUCAGGGACGAUAAUGACGGUACCUGAAAAACAAGCCACGGCUAACUACGUGCCAGCAGCCGCCGUAA